ACGAACGCUGGCGGCGUGCUUAACACAUGCACGUCGAACGGAAAGGCCCUGCUUUUGUGGGGUGCUCGAGUGGCGAACGGGUGAGUAACGCGUGAGUAACCUGCCCUUGACUUUGGGAUAACUUCAGGAAACUGGGGCUAAUACCGGAUAGGAGCUCCUGCUGCAUGGUGGGGGUUGGAAAGUUUCGGCGGUUGGGGAUGGACUCGCGGCUUAUCAGCUUGUUGGUGGGGUAGUGGCUUACCAAGGCUUUGACGGGUAGCCGGCCUGAGAGGGUGACCGGCCACAUUGGGACUGAGAUACGGCCCAGACUCCUACGGGAGGCAGCAGUGGGGAAUAUUGCACAAUGGGCGGAAGCCUGAUGCAGCAACGCCGCGUGCGGGAUGACGGCCUUCGGGUUGUAAACCGCUUUCGCCUGUGACGAAGCGUGAGUGACGGUAAUGGGUAAAGAAGCACCGGCUAACUACGUG
rnacentral:rRNA from 1 species